rnacentral:tRNA from 1 species
GCCUGGGUGGCUCAGUCGGUUGGGCAUCUGACUCUUGGUUUCAUGACCUCAAGGUUUGUGGGUUCAAGCCCCACAUCAGGCU